rnacentral:tRNA from 1 species
AACUAACAUGGUUUAAUGGUUUGAGUGUUGGACUAUGACUCUGGAGACCUGGGUUCAAUUCCCAGCUCAGCCA